rnacentral:rRNA from 1 species
GACGGAGGAUGCAAGUGUUAUCCGGAAUCACUGGGCGUAAAGCGUCUGUAGGUGGUCAAAUAAGUCAACUGUUAAAUCUUGAGGCUCAACCUCAAAAUCGCAGUCGAAACUAUUAGGCUAGAGUAUAGUAGGGGUAAAGGGAAUUUCCAGUGGAGCGGUGAAAUGCGUAGAGAUUGGGAAGAACACCGAUGGCGAAGGCACUUUACUGGGCUAUUACUAACACUCAGAGACGAAAGCUAGGGUAGCAAAUGGG